rnacentral:tRNA from 1 species
AGAGAUUUAGCUCAGUGGUAGAGCGCUUGCCUAGCAAGCGCAAGGCCCUGGGUUCCAUCCUCAGCUCUA